UGAGGUUUCCCAGAUGCUACCACAUAGAAGCCUGCUCUAUGAGUAGAUCUUUACAAGAUUACAGGUAGGUGUCAUGGUUUGACCAGGAAGAAGUGGGAAUUCUGGGAAGCUGUGGUCAAACCAAUGAAGGUUUUGGGUUUCAUACUGACACCUGGUGUAGCCAGUGGGGUUUGGACACACCUCCGAGAAUACACAGGGGUUAAAAGCAGGGCACUGCCCUGGCACUUCCUCUUUGGACCUCGUCGGGCGAGGAGUUCAGAUCUCUCCCCCGUCCGGCCCGCUGCUGCUGGGCGGGGGAGGGGCCAGCCAUGCGGUAAGGCCUGGGGCCUGGACAGAGAUGGUGUUGAGGGGGCUUCGAGGAUGGAAGGGUGGGGGAGCCCCAAGAGACAUCGGGCAGCCAGCGAGAAGGGGGAGGAAGACUGCCCGGCCGCAGCGGCAGCGUGUGGGCAGCAUGCGUGGGAGCCGUUCCGGGACCGACAGACAGAGACUGAAAACUUUUAACCCUUUCUUGCAUGAUUGGGGCCUUACAAAAAUGCUAAUCCUCCUCGAAGCUGAAUAAGAAGGGAGAUGAGAGAUGAGAUGACUUGGCUCGGAGAUUGUGGAGAUGAUUGGAUGGGGAGAGAUGAUUUGGAGUGGCCUUUUGGCUGGACUUUUUCUUGUAGCCAUGGACUCAGUUGUUCCUGUGACACAGACUGCAUUUAGGGGGAGGCAGUGCCUCAAAACCAGGAGGGUUCAUUUGUGAGGACCCCCCGGCCCCAGGGGGUUGGAAAAAUAUGGGGGGGACAGUUGUCCCAAAAGCAGAGACUGUGCCUUUUUGGAGUGAGACAAGGCAUCCUUGAAAGACCACCCUAAAAGCAGCUCUGGCCAUGUCUCGGUGGUGAGAGCACUGAGCAUGGAAGGAACAUGUCACAAGCGGCAAAUGGACUUUCCGGGCGGUGCCGAAGUGACAAGGAAGCAUCCGGGAUUUCAGUGUGUUUCCAGAAGCCUAUGGAACAAGAAGGACUCCUUUUCCUCUUCAUGAACUGAUGUUUGAGUAUACUAAAGUGUCGUGCCGGGCUGGGCAGUUGUUUUGAGAGAAUGUAUUGGAUUGGGAAAGUCAGGUGGUGGGGAGGAGGAAAAUGGUUUUUUUGUAAGGUUUUCAAUUUUUUUUUCUUCUUUCUCCUUAUAGUCUCUCCCUAUUUCCCUGUAGUUUAAGUAAUAAAGUGGUCUUUAUGUUUAAGUUAGAGCCUGUU
rnacentral:lncRNA from 1 species